rnacentral:misc_RNA from 1 species
CAAAGGUGCGUCGAAAUGGUGGCCUACUAAGCAUUCAAUUUUUCUUGCCAUGCUUUCUCAUAAUGUCUGUCUUUACUUAUGAAUGAACUUUUCCACCCUUUGCAGCAUGAAAUCUGGUUCUCUUCCCUACUUUUGCAUGUAAUAUGAAGACUUCAAUAACUUUUAAAUAUAAAGCUUCUCGUAUGCAUGAAAGUGCUGUGUUUUCAGUUGGUGGUUUGACAAUAUAUUGAUUAUGUAUGUCACACCCUUUACAAGACAACCAAAAGAAGUAUAACAGGAGUCUUGAUCCAAUUAUAGUGUGGAAAAGUUUCACUUCUCUUUCAACAUGCCAUUCUGAUAUUUUUCUGUUAUCAAUUUACAGUUUCUUCAGCUGCACUUAGAUCCAGCUAGCAGCAAUACGCUACCUGCAAGUGGUAAUGGUUCGGUUAUGCAAAGCUUGAGAGUAACUAACAGCCAACAUGGAAAGGUAUAUGUUUUCCACUUAUGAAUUCCUGGAGUCUGGAGCAUUUCAUAAGUUGUGGUGUAUCAUAUAAUGUCAUCUGAUAUAAUCUAAUUUUUUAGUAACUAUUAGUAAUUUCCUUGUUUCUCUGUAUAGGAAAAUUAUGUAUCUACCAACAUGAUUAAUAAUUAUGUAUGGUUUGAAAUUUAGAGUUGACUCGUCUGGUGUCAUGCUUUUCUUAAAAUAAAAUAAUGCUUCCUGGUUCACCUAGGUGUAUCAAAUUUAUAACAACCGCAGGCUCCCUUUGGCUAUAGUAUUCUUAGCGAGGGUUGACUGAGUAUCAGCAAAACUGAAAGGCAGAAGUCCGGGACGUCUACUUUCUUGCUUUAAUUUUUUUUUUUUUUUA